rnacentral:tRNA from 1 species
GGUGGCACAGUGGUUAAGUGCUCAGCUGCUAACUGAAAGGUCGGUGGAUCAAACCCACCACCA